CACGCGCAUGCUCACAAGAUGUCUGGAAGUCGGAUUGCGGCUGACAACCUUCGAGUUCGUGUAGUGAUUAGGAUCACCUGCAAACGCCCACGCAGUCUUGCGGGGUAACAUCAAGACAAAGACUAUUGUUUCGGUGGUUCAAAACUACCUGAAUGCAACACUUGGGAAUGACAGAGAGAACAUCUUGAAUAACUUGAGUUACAAGGGGCCCGGUCGAUUAAUUUUCCAAAGCCUAAAACACAGAUGACGAAGUGGCUACGAUGGAUUAAGGCUUGCGGAAGACAGCACGUGUGACUAAAUGUGGACAAUAUCAACAAACACACGGCUGUAUAUUCAAAGGUGCUGUCCAGCCCCAGCUGCUGCAGGAUGGCCCUGACCUGCAGCAGAGCCAGACGAUCGCUACAGAGAAGGGUGGUGGAGGCGGGGGGGAAUGACAUGACAUGUCAAAGGCUUGCCAGGAGUUAUUGGAUCUCUCACAGCUGUUGCCAGAGGCCAAGGUUUAGGGCUUGAACAGUCUUGACGUCUUAUCGCCCUCAACUCUUUUCCGGAAUGCGUUAGUCUGUUUUUGAGUCGUUGCUCCCCAUUUUCUGCUGAGUUACAUCAAAGCAUGGGCCACAGGCCACAUGGAACCGCUCCAUUUUUUUUUUUUUUUUUCAUCUGGAACGCUGAGCAUUUAGCCAGAGCCUUGACAUAUUUUCAUAUUUUUUGCAUGAAUGUAGCCAUUUUCCCUCCAAAUUGUUUAUGAAAAUGUACUUUUUCUGUUAUGUAUGUUUUUAUACGUCCCAUUAAAAUAAUUGAAUAAUUAAUUGUAAAUAACAAAUUUUGCAUUAACAUUGUUUUAUUAGAUUGAGUGAUGAUUGGUAAUUACAUUUUCAAUACAAUUUAAAAAGGAAUGAAAUUUCAAUAAAUUAUUUUGCAUAUUCAUUUAACAUUUAAAUCAGUAGUUAAUUAAAUGAUAGAUGGUAGUGUAUAAAUGAGUGCUUGUUUUAUUAAUAAAUAAAGUAAUUGGUUAAUUAUAAUUGAAUUAUGAAUAAUAAAAUUAAAACUACUCAUUUUAUUAUACAUUUUUUACCUUAUGUUUUAUGUUUCUAUUUCAAUGACAUGCCCAAUGUGGGCGGUUUAAUAAUGUGACACUUGAGCUCACAACUUUGUAUUUGUUAAAAUCUUAAAAAAAUACAAAUAAUUUUGUAUCCGUACCAAGGUGGCAUUUUCCCCAAAUAAAGCCUUAAUUAUAUUUCAAACUGUUGUGGAAUCCUGAAAUCAGUCAUUAAAAAGUAACACUGUAAACAACAUAAUUGAGGGAUUUGGGGAUAACCGGGAUUUGAAUGAGGAGAACCACCUGCAAAUAUUUGGUUUUGUGAUGGAGCUAUAUAAAAAUGUCACAAAAAUUAUGCAUUAUUGUGGAGGCACCUCCUCUACUUUUAUUUCAAUUCUUGCAUUCACAUCUAAAAAUGUACUGAUGGUAAGAAUCCAUUUAAGAGGAUUUAUUUUCAAAUCAGUGUACAGCUAGUCACAGAUUUACUGCCAAUGCAACACGAGUGAUUGAGAUUUUAUGACAGUAUUUACAGCUUUGCUGUCCCCUGCAAGCUUAGCAAUUUCUGUCUUGGCUUCUGUCACAUACAGUUAGCCACUAAUCUACAGUACAGUACAUCCUGCAGGGGAAAACCACAAAAAAUCAGAGACAACACUUCCAGGAACCAAGACCAAGAUUUUGAGUUAUUGAGACCACAGAGACCAAAACUUUGAGAACACGAGACACAAUCAAGACCAAGACUUUAAGGUGCUGGGCAAAAGUCAAGAAAACAUCAGACAAAGUCCAAAUCAAGAUGUUAAGGAGC